GCUCUCUCUUCAGGGAUGACAUCAUCGGCUCACACCAGUCUUCCAGGACCACCUUCUGGAUGCCAAGGCUGCUGCUCCUGUACCUGCUGUGCACCUCUACCUCCUGAGCCAAGGAGCAUGGAUUCCAGGAACCCACUACCAUACAGAGCAACUCCUUGUGGACCCCCCUGGGAUCAGGACAGCGAGGGACAAGCGACAAAGAGGAUCAUCAGUGGCCAGCUAGUCUCUCUGGGGUUCAAACCUUGAACCAGUGCCCUAGUGAGGGGGCACUGGCCAUGGCCCUUGACCUUUGCUCUGCUUGUGUCUUGAGUCUGAGUCCUUUCCUGUACAUCUGUGCUUGUGUUCAUCUGCUAGUGAACUGGAGUGCUGCCCUCCCCGAGGAGGGUCGUCCCUUGUGACUGAUCAUGCUGUCCUAACAAUGUCCUGAGCAAAAGGGUCCCUUUGGGAACCUCUCAGGAGGGGGACCCGGGUCAGGGGCGACCAGCAUCUUGCUGGCAACUCCGUGGGUGGGGUGGGGUGGGGUGCUUCCUUCUGGAAUGAGCACGUGGCUGACCCCCAAAGGCAUGUCCCCUCCCCCUCCUCCACCCACCUUCUCGGAGAUGUCCCUUUUGGGGUAGUGGGGACAUUAGGAGCAACCUCCUAGGGUUGUUGUGAGAAUUAAAUGAACUGCAGCAGCCUGAGGCAGGGCUGGGCAGAGACCUCAGCACAUGUUUGUUGAAAGGUUUGCAGGUGGAUCUAGUCCUCCCGUUCAUGGCUCAUGUGUCUCAACCAUUCUCUCGCAGAUUCCUGCAGCCCCUAUGCCCAGGGCUCUCCUUGCGCCAGCCCCGGCUUCUAGAGGCCUGUCUACACUCGCUGCUUUCCUUCCUCACCUCCAAUUUCCCCUCCAACCCACUGCUUCCUGACUCGCUCUUCUCCAUCGAACGGCUCUCGCUCAGGCCUGUCGCGUCUUCCUGUGCCAUUUGCUGUUGUGCUCAGGUUCCACGAGCUGCCCAUCUCCACAGAAGAGCAGCUGGCAUUGCCCACCGGCCAUGCCGGCUGAAGAAAAGAAGACUGAGGACCCCAGGACGCCCAGCACGAGGACCCCAGGAAGCUCAGCGCGAGGACUCCACCCAUGACGCCCAGCGCGAGGACUUCACGCACAACACGUUGCAACCCUCCUGGAUUAGGCCUCCACAGCCACGGGGACGCCUUGCACAUUUCCUGUGGGACAUGCUGGACCCAAGACUCUGGACCCUGGCCUCCCCUUGAGUAGAGAGACCCACCUACUGACUGAUGAACUGCACUGACCCUGGGGUCAGGCAUGUGGCCUUGAUCCCUACCCAUGGACCCUGAGACUUGGGGGGGUGGAAGAAAGGCUGUUGAGUCUUCACUGUUGAUUCUACAUCUGUGAAAUGGGCUCAGGUUCCUACCUCACAGGGCUGUUGUGAGGCAGCCGCGAUGUGCUUAGAAGCAUGGGGCCUGGUGGCUCAUGGUGCUUUCAAUAAAUUUCUUGUUUUAACUAAAGCA
rnacentral:lncRNA from 1 species